GAUGAACGCUGGCGGCGUGCCUAAUACAUGCAAGUCGAGCGAACGGACGAGAAGCUUGCUUCUCUGAUGUUAGCGGCGGACGGGUGAGUAACACGUGGAUAACCUACCUAUAAGACUGGGAUAACUUCGGGAAACCGUAGCUAAUACCGGAUAAUAUUUUGAACCGCAUGGUUCAAAAGUGAAAGACGGUCUUGCUGUAACUUAUAGAUGGAUCCGCGCUGCAUUAGAUAGUUGGUAAGGUAACGGCUUACCAAGGCAACGAUGCAUAGCCGACCUGAGAGGGUGAUCGGCCACACUGGAACUGAGACACGGUCCAGACUCCUACGGGAGGCAGCAGUAGGGAAUCUUCCGCAAUGGGCGAAAGCCUGACGGAGCAACGCCGCGUGAGUGAUGAAGGUCUUCGGAUCGUAAAACUCUGUUAUUAGGGAAGAACAUAUGUGUAAGUAACUGUGCACAUCUUGACGGUACCUAAUCAGAAAGCCACGGCUAACUACGUG
rnacentral:rRNA from 1 species